GACAGAGGGGGCAAGCGUUGCUCGGAAUUACUGGGCGUAAAGGGCGCGUAGGCGGGAUGGCAAGUCGGUCGUGAAAUCCCUCGGCUCAACCGAGGAACGUCGAUCGAUACUGCUGUUCUUGAGGAUUGCAGAGGAGACUGGAAUGCCCGGUGUAGCGGUGAAAUGCGCAGAUAUCGGGAGGAACACCAGUGGCGAAGGCGGCACUCUGGGCCGGUACUGACGCUGAGGAGCGAAAGCGUGGGGAGCGAACAGG
rnacentral:rRNA from 1 species